rnacentral:rRNA from 1 species
AUUGAACGCUGGCGGCAGGCCUAACACAUGCAAGUCGAGCGGAUGAAGGGAGCUUGCUCCUGGAUUCAGCGGCGGACGGGUGAGUAAUGCCUAGGAAUCUGCCUGGUAGUGGGGGAUAACGUCCGGAAACGGGCGCUAAUACCGCAUACGUCCUGAGGGAGAAAGUGGGGGAUCUUCGGACCUCACGCUAUCAGAUGAGCCUAGGUCGGAUUAGCUAGUUGGUGGGGUAAAGGCCUACCAAGGCGACGAUCCGUAACUGGUCUGAGAGGAUGAUCAGCCACACUGGAACUGAGACACGGUCCAGACUCCUACGGGAGGCAGCAGUGGGGAAUAUUGGACAAUGGGCGAAAGCCUGAUCCAGCCAUGCCGCGUGUGUGAAGAAGGUCUUCGGAUUGUAAAGCACUUUAAGUGGGGAGGAAGGGCAGUAAGUUAAUACCUUGCUGUUUUGACGUUACCAACAGAAUAAGCACCGGCUAACUUCGUG